GAUGAACGCUGGCGGCGUGCCUAAUACAUGCAAGUCGAGCGAACAGACGAGGAGCUUGCUCCUCUGACGUUAGCGGCGGACGGGUGAGUAACACGUGGAUAACCUACCUAUAAGACUGGGAUAACUUCGGGAAACCGGAGCUAAUACCGGAUAAUAUAUUGAACCGCAUGGUUCAAUAGUGAAAGACGGUUUUGCUGUCAUUUAUAGAUGGAUCCGCGCCGCAUUAGCUAGUUGGUAAGGUAACGGCUUACCAAGGCAACGAUGCGUAGCCGACCUGAGAGGGUGAUCGGCCACACUGGAACUGAGACACGGUCCAGACUCCUACGGGAGGCAGCAGUAGGGAAUCUUCCGCAAUGGGCGAAAGCUUGACGGAGCAACGCCGCGUGAGUGAUGAAGGUCUUCGGAUCGUAAAACUCUGUUAUUAGGGAAGUACAAAUGUGUAAGUAACUAUGCACGUCUUGACGGUACCUAAUCAGAAAGCCACGGCUAACUACGUG
rnacentral:rRNA from 1 species